GUUUGCGUGUUUUUUUUUUUUUGUUUUUUUAGUGUUUGUUUUGGUGAAAUUCCCAUAUUAAUAUAUUUAUCCUUCUUUCCUUUUUUUCUUUUUUGUUUCGCUGUAGCCGAAAGACAAGUUACUUCCCGUUUGCUACGGUGCAGGACUCGAAGUGGGAAGCACCAACCAAUCUCCAGAUUACACUCCACGUGCCUGUUGCGACGAUGCCAAAUUUGCGGUGAUUGUGAACAAAUGGUUUGCCGGAAUGACAAUCAGAUGCGUAGCUAGGUAACAGCAACUGAAACAAUUAACAAUUAAAUAAUAACACUAAUCCUAAAAUAACAACAAUAAUAAUAAUAAUAACAAUAAAUAAUAUCAAUAAUAACAAUAAUAAAAAGAACAAUAAUAAUUAUAUAUUAAAUGAUGGCAAUGAUGAUGAUGAUGACCUUGAUGAUGAGAAAGAGGCUGGUGGUAAAGAUAAUACAAUUAAUGACGAUAACGGUAAUGUUAUCAACGAUAAAUAUGAGAAUUAUAUCACCGAUAACAUUACUCUUCCGGUAAGCAAAAUAUGAUGAUAAACAUAUAAAAUGGCAUACAAAAAAGAAAUUGUAAGAAAAAAAGAAAAGAAGAAAAUAUAUAAUGAAAUAACUAAUAUACAAUAAAAAUACAAUAAAAUAAAGUGUAUAAAUUUUUAAUAUAAAAAUCAAACAUUUCCGACCACUAGAGUUCAAACGGUUCGUAAUUGAAACAGUGUCCGUAAUUCUAACGGCCCCGUACCUGAAAAUCGAACGGUCCACAUAUCUACCUGAAGUGGUACUCGUCAGGGGAAUCUCCAAAUUAUUUUCUAUUCUAUAAAAUAUAUAUAGAGAGAGAGAGAGAAUGAAAAAAAAAAUGUUUUCCAGUCGGUUUCUGCAAAAAAAAAGAGAGAAAAAAAGCGAGGUAUUAAGAGACCGAAAGGCAUCAAUGAUCCAAGGCAGAGCUCGAACUUAAGACGGAGAUUUCAUUACCUCGAAUGAACAGUUGACGCAUAGCAACUUCCCACACAGCCACAAUGUGUUGCUGAUGUUGGGUGGGAGGAGAGAGAGAGAGAGAGAGCGUGUCAUGGCAACAGCGAUGCGCGACAUUGGUACGACUUUCAUCAUAACAACAACAACAACAACAACAACAGCAGCAGCAGCAGCAGCAGCAGAAGCGACAUCAGCAGCAGCAACAGCAGCAGCAAUAGUGACAGUAUCAUCUACGAAACAAGAAAUACUAUCUGCAAAUAUUAUUGGUACACAUUACCUAGAAUUUUAUACAAUGAAUUAUGCAUAAACAAAUAUACAUGUGUGUGUGCGUGACUCUCUGUGUGUGUGUGUGUGUGUGUGUGUGUGUGUGUAUGAGUGACCCUGUGUGUGUGUGUGUAAUAGAAAUAGAUAUUUGUAUGAUUAGGUGUGUAUAUAUAUACAUGUAUAUAUAUAUAUAUAUAUAUAUAUAGGUGUGCGUAUACAUAUAUAUAUACGAAUAUAUAUAUAUAGACACAUAUUUAUGUACACACAUAUAUAUACAAAUACGUAC
rnacentral:lncRNA from 1 species